rnacentral:rRNA from 1 species
GAUGAACGCUAGCGGCAGGCUUAAUACAUGCAAGUCGAGGGGGCAGCAAUGUCACCGGCGAACGGGUGCGUAACGCGUAUGCAACCUACCUACAUCAGGGGGAUAGCCCUAGGAAACUGGGAUUAACACCGCAUAACAUAUGACAGGGCAUCUUGUUAUAUUGAAAUAUUUAUAGGAUGUAGAUGGGCAUGCGUAGGAUUAGCUAGUUGGUAAGGUAACGGCUUACCAAGGCUACGAUCCUUAGGGGCCCUGAGAGGAGUAUCCCCCGCACUGGCACUGGGAUACGGGCCGGACUCAUACGGGAGGCAGCAGUAGGGAAUAUUGGGCAAUGGAGGCAACUCUGACCCAGCCAUGCCGCGUGCAGGAAGACGGUCCUCUGGAUUGUAAACUGCUUUUGAAUGGGAAGAAUGUGUGGCUUGCGAGCUAUAAUGACGGUACCAUUAGAAUAAGCCACGGCUAACUACGUGCCAGCCGCCGCAGUAA